rnacentral:lncRNA from 1 species
UUUUUGCGAAAAUUAAAUUAUCGAAUUCAAAACAAAUAUCCAAUAGCGCGUCGAUCAGUUAAUUCAAUUUAUUCAAUAAGAAUUGGGAAUAAGCUCUCCAUUUGGUUGGUACCAUUCAAUCGAAUCCAACUCAAUUGUUUCUUUAUUCAAACAAUGAAUUUGAAAAUUCAAUCAAUCUAUUUUAUUUUUAGAAUUUGAAGUGGAUGAAUAGGAAUGUUGAGAAGGUCUUUCAUUUAUCUAUCAUUAUAGAUAAUCCCAUCUCUAUUAUCCAUUCUAUGGAAUUCGCUAUGGAAUUCGAACCUGAACUCUAUUUACAUUACGAUUCAUUAUUUCUAUCCCAUUGGAUUUCUUUUUUAUUUCAGCAUAUCGAUUUACGCCGAGCCUUUUUUUCAUUUUUUUCAUUUUU